AUUUCCUCUGAUGGUGAGAACUGUGAACUCUCUCUUAUGCUCUAAUCAAUUUAAUCCCUUGCCAGGAAAUAUAUAAUCAAAUCAAUACUUACAAUCAAAAUCUUAAGCUAAGUUGGGUUUUUUAAUCUUUUACAGUUUUUUUGUUCUACAUAGGUAAUACAGCACAAAGUGCAACAUCGUUGCAACAUGUGAUGGAGUUUUGAAGCGAAGAAUUCUCAAGCCUAAGUGUUUGCGGAAAUGCCUAGCAUAAAAGAGUUGUUCAAGUCCUUCUACUAAACAUGGACUUAGAUGACUUCUUAAAGGACUUCAGAUCAGAACAGGCUAGGAAGUUAAUGAAAGAUAUCUUGGUUGUAAAGAGACAUCGGAGGAUUCGUACUCCAGAGGAAUGACAUCUUGAUUGGAAAAGAAAAAAAAUGUCUCAUGUUUUUAAGACUACUACUCACAAAACAUUGUUACAGCAGAGUGAUAGUACCGGUCAAGCAACAACGAUAAGUUACAAUUCCAGCUUUAUGCUUGAAAAUGAAGAAGAAUGAAAUUUGGUCGCUACGGCACGGAAAAAAGUCUGAAGUGUCGAUUAUUGUUGAUCCCAGUUGGUUUAUCUGAGCAAAACAAAGUUAGAAGCUUUGUAUAUGAAAAACAAAUCCUGAACCAUAACAACCCAACAACAAUUAACACGCUUUAAAUGAAGAUGAAUUUCGCGCCGCGGAUACAAAGUCAACGUUUAGAUUAUGUUGUUGAUCCCGGAGUGUUUUCGUUUUUCUGUUGGACGAUCAACGGUCAAGUCCAAGACAAACAACAAGUCCUUCCUGGUGAAGACAUAUUUUAUACAGAUAAUGCAAGAAAGAUUGUCCAUUGAGCUUCAGGUUAGCUACUGUUCGAAGUGCGUAUGUUCUUCCUUUUCUUUUCUUUUGUAACCGUGUACAGGUAGUUUUAUGUGUACGACAAUCAUGUGCGACACAGAAAAACACCUUAAGUAGAAACGUCGGAAGUUAGAUGGUUGAUAAAAAGAGGGACUGGUGGAACAAGAAAAGAAGUUCAGUUUUAUGUGUCUUUUGUUUAUGAUGGUGUGCAGUUCUCUUUAUGAUUGUGUAUAUGCACAAGGAGGGUGAGCCACUGAUCCUGAUCCUUACAUUGAUAAACUUACUGAAGUAUAAUUAUAUUAGAAAAAAACAAGAAGUUGUGCUCCAGAAUGAACUGUU